CCAAUAGCGUAUAUUAAAGUUGUUGCAGUUAAAAAGCUCGUAGUUGAAUUUCGGGGUUAGUAGGUUGGUCAUGCCUCUGGUAUGUACUGGUCUCACUGAUUCCUCCUUCCUGAUGAACCGUAAUGCCAUUAAUUUGGGGUUGCGGGGAAUGUGGACUGUUACUUGGAAAAAAUUGGAGGGUUUAAAGCAAGCUAACGCUUGAAUACAUUAGAAUGGAAUAAUGAAAUAGGACGUUCGAUCCUAUUUUGUUGGUUUCUAGGAUUGACGUAAUGAUUAAUAGGGAUAGUUGGGGGCAUUAGUAUUCAAUUGUCAGAGGUGAAAUUCUUGGAUUUAUUGAAGACUAACUACUGCGAAAGCAUUUGCCAAGGAUGUUUUCAUUAAUCAAGAACGAAAGUUAGGGGAUCGAAGACGAUCAGAUACCGUCGUAGUCUUAACCAUAAACUAUGCCGACUAGGGAUCGGAUGAUGUUAAUUUUUUAAUGACUCAUUCGGCGCCUUACG
rnacentral:rRNA from 1 species